rnacentral:rRNA from 1 species
AGAGUUUGAUCCUGGCUCAGGACGAACGCUGGCGGCGUGCCUAACACAUGCAAGUCAAGGGGUAGCAAUACCACUGGCGCACGGGUGAGUAACGCGUAGGUCAUCUGCCCUUUACCGGGACAUAACGUCGGGAAACCGGCGCUAAUAUCCCAUGAGGUGGUAACAUCAAAGCUUCGGCGGUAGAGGAUGAGCCUGCGUCUGAUUAGCUAGUUGGUAAGGUAACGGCUUACCAAGGCAACGAUCGGUAGCUGGUCUGAGAGGACGAUCAGCCACACUGGAACUGAGACACGGUCCAGACUCCUACGGGAGGCAGCAGUGAGGAAUUUUGGUCAAUGGGGGAAACCCUGAACCAGCGACGCCGCGUGUGGGAUGAAGGGGCUCUGCCCUGUAAACCACUGUUGAGAGGGAAGAAAAGCUUUUUGAAAAGCUGGGACUGUACCUCUUUAGAAAGGAUCGGCUAACUACGUGCCAGCAGCCGCGGUAAUACGUAGGAUCCAAGCGUUGUCCGGAAUUACUGGGUAUAAAGGGUGCGUAGGCGGGCUUGUGCGUCAGAGGUUAAAUCCCACAGCUCAACUGUGGAGCUGCCUUUGAUACGGCAGGUCUUGAGUGUGAGAGAGGAUGGUAGAAUUCCUGGUGUAGCGGUGAAAUGCGUAGAUAUCAGGAGGAAUACCAGUGGCGAAGGCGGCCAUCUGGCUCAUUACUGACGCUGAGGCACGAAAGCGUGGGGAGCGAACAGGAUUAGAUACCCUGGUAGUCCACGCC